rnacentral:rRNA from 1 species
UACGGGGGGGGCUAGCGUUGUUCGGAAUUACUGGGCGUAAAGGGCGCGUAGGCGGUGCCUCAAGUCAGGCGUGAAAGCCCCGGGCUCAACCUGGGAACCGCGCUUGAGACUGGAGUACUAGAGUUCGGGAGAGGAUGGUGGAAUUCCCAGUGUAGAGGUGAAAUUCGUAGAUAUUGGGAAGAACACCGAUGGCGAAGGCAGCCAUCUGGACCGACACUGACGCUGAGGCGCGAAAGCGUGGGGAGCGAACAGG